CCGCAGGGUCUUCUAAACCAGAAAGUCUACGGAGCUAGCGCCAGGCAAUUUGCGGUGCUCCCCCUUUAGACGCAGUGUUAGAAACAGGCAGGGGGAAAGGCAUCGUCGCUGAAGCUGAAACCAGGCGGCCGGAGUUCUCAGGGAUGAACCUCGAGUUGCUGGAGUCCUUUGGGCAGAAUUAUCCAGAGGAAGCUGAUGGAACUUUGGAUUGUAUCAGCAUGGCCCUGACUUGCACCUUUAACAGGUGGGGCACGCUGCUUGCAGUUGGCUGUAAUGAUGGCCGAAUUGUCAUCUGGGAUUUUUUGACAAGAGGCAUUGCUAAAAUAAUCAGUGCGCACAUCCAUCCAGUCUGUUCUUUAUGCUGGAGUCGAGAUGGUCAUAAGCUCGUGAGUGCUUCCACGGAUAACAUAGUGUCACAAUGGGAUGUUCUUUCAGGCGACUGCGACCAGAGGUUUCGAUUCCCUUCACCCAUCUUAAAAGUCCAGUAUCAUCCACGAGAUCAGAACAAGGUUCUCGUGUGUCCCAUGAAAUCUGCUCCUGUCAUGUUGACCCUUUCAGAUUCCAAACAUGUUGUUCUGCCGGUAGAUGAUGACUCCGACUUGAACGUGGUUGCCUCUUUUGAUAGGCGAGGGGAAUAUAUCUAUACAGGAAAUGCAAAAGGCAAGAUUUUGGUCCUAAAAACAGAUUCUCAGGAUCUUGUUGCUUCCUUCAGAGUAACAACUGGAACAAGCAAUACCACAGCCAUUAAGUCCAUAGAGUUUGCCCGGAAGGGGAGUUGCUUUUUAAUUAACACGGCAGAUCGAAUAAUCAGAGUUUAUGAUGGCAGAGAAAUCUUAACCUGUGGAAGAGAUGGAGAGCCGGAACCUAUGCAGAAAUUGCAGGACUUGGUAAACAGGACCCCGUGGAAGAAAUGCUGUUUCUCUGGGGAUGGAGAAUACAUAGUGGCAGGUUCGGCCCGGCAGCAUGCCCUGUACAUCUGGGAGAAGAGCAUAGGUAACCUGGUGAAGAUUCUCCACGGGACGAGAGGAGAGCUCCUGCUGGAUGUAGCUUGGCAUCCUGUUCGACCCAUCAUAGCUUCCAUUUCUAGUGGAGUGGUAUCUAUCUGGGCACAGAAUCAAGUAGAAAACUGGAGUGCCUUUGCACCAGACUUCAAAGAAUUGGAUGAAAAUGUAGAAUACGAGGAAAGGGAAUCAGAGUUUGACAUUGAAGAUGAAGAUAAGAGUGAGCCGGAGCAGACAGGGGCUGAUGCUGCUGAAGACGAGGAGGUGGAUGUCACCAGCGUGGAUCCUAUCGCUGCUUUCUGUAGCAGUGAUGAAGAGCUGGAAGAUUCAAAGGCUCUAUUGUAUUUACCCAUUGCCCCUGAGGUAGAAGACCCAGAAGAAAAUCCUUACGGCCCCCCGCCAGAUGCAGUCCAAACCUCCCUGAUGGACGAAGGCGCUAGUUCAGAGAAGAAGAGGCAGUCUUCAGCAGAUGGGUCCCAGCCACCUAAGAAGAAACCCAAAACAACCAACAUAGAACUUCAAGGAGUGCCAAACGAUGAAGUCCAUCCACUACUGGGUGUGAAGGGGGAUGGCAAAUCCAAGAAGAAGCAAGCAGGCCGGCCUAAAGGAUCAAAAGGUAAAGAGAAAGAUUCUCCAUUUAAACCGAAACUCUACAAAGGGGACAGAGGUUUACCUCUGGAAGGAUCAGCGAAGGGUAAAGUGCAGGCGGAACUCAGCCAGCCCUUGACAGGUAAGGACACAUUGGGAGCGCUGUCUGGCUUGCUUUGUGGCCUUGCUUUGUACGGCCCCUGACUCCGUUUACCUGUAGCAUUUUUUCCUUCCUUCCCUCCAUUUUUCAAGUGGCAGAUUUUCUCUGAGUUUUAAGCUGCCAAUAAGGACAGGCUAAACCAUAUUGGCUUAAUUCAGUGGCUUUCAACCCUGAGUCCCCAAAUAGAUUUCAAGAAAUCUACAUUCCCUUGAUAUUAGAAGCAGAAUAUUGUGGGAAUAUUUGUGUGGGGAAGAUGCCUAUACCUUUAAUUAGAGUCCUGUUGGGAUCCACUCCUUGGAAAGGAAUAACAGCCCCUGGUUUAAUUCCCUCCUUCAUUUGUGUUUGCUCCCAGAUGUUUUGCCUCCAAUGAAAGAGCCGUACAGUAACCAGAACCAUCAGCUUGCUUUGUAUAUAUAGCCCCCGACUGUUAAACCGUAGCAUCUCUUCUCGCUCUUUCUCUUCAGAUUGUUCAAAUCCCAGAGCCUUUUGUCCCUCCCAGUAGUCUAGAGGCAAUAAUGACAUUGAUGGUAGUACCUUCAUGAUAAAAAAGAAAAUUGAGGUGUUUUGUUUUUUAAAAACAGAAGGAGAUCACCAAAAGGACAGAAACUGCCAUCUCUAUGUAGCUCUUUAGAACCUAAGCCUUUGAAAUUUACUGAGUUUUCUGACUUUUAUAUGUUGAGGGAUUUUUAUUGGGGAUGGGAGAACAAUUUCAAUUUUUUAUCAAAUAUUUGUGAAUGUAGGCAGAUUCCAUUUUUUGUUAUAUAGAAACUUUUUGUUAUAUAGAAGCACUACUUUAGUUAAUACUAUACUCUCAAUAUUUUUGCAGCUAGGUCAAUAGACUUAAGAGGCCAGAUUGAUAAAAUGUGUGGUUGUAUUCAGGUUUUUCCCACUUGCUUUAAAAUGUUAACGUUUUCCAUGAACCCACAUGAGAUGCAGUGCACUGGAAUGCGGAGCAGAAGUCCUUGUUUAUGCCUUUAGUCAGUCAGUCACCAGGCGCACGGAUCCUCCAGAGGAGCUGAAGCAGACUCAGUCGCGCAUUAGAGUAUCCUGCUUCGACUAGUUAGUUCAGGUUUUCAGCGGCCGGCACCGGGCCGCUGAGCACACCACGUCUUCGGCAGCAGCGCCGGUGGUGCUCCAGUGGUGACCCGCCACCGCCUCCACGUUCAGUCCCCGCACGCCUCCGUCUCUGUGCUUUAAAUAGUCUGAGAGGGUUCUCUGGGUGUUGCCAGCAAAGACUGCAGAUGGGUAGUUGACUCGUUAAAUAAAAAUGAUUCUUUCAGAACCCAUUUCUUGCACAAGCUGAUGCUACUACAGAAGAAAUGUAGUUUAAAGUUUAAGUAGAUCUUCCUGGCCCAGAUUGCUGAAAUGCUUCAGGGUAAUUUAAAAUGUGACCACACUUCUUGAAUUAGUUGAAAUAGUCUACGACAUAGUCUCCUAGUUUCUUCAAAAGCUGUCUGUAAUUAAUCAUUUGCUUUAUAAUAGUAAAUAUAUAGUAAAUAAACCAUUUAAAGCUUUCAAAGCUCACAUUUCUCUUUAUACACUACAGAGAUUUCAGCUUUUAAUUUUAGUUGAUGUGGACACCAACAGUAACUAAAUAUCUCGGGCAUUUGCCAGACUGGCCCUCUGUCAAGGGUGCUGUGAGGUACUGUCAGGUUUACAGCCUGGAGCACGACCGCCGUGCAGUUUCUCAGCUGUGCUUCAGAAGUGUCUAAAAGAGUCAAAGUCAGCCCUGACUGGUAUGGCUCUGUAGGUUAGGCAUUGUCCCGCAGACCAAAAGGUCAGCAGUUUAAUUCCUGGUCAGGGCAUGUGCCUGGGUUGCAGCCCAGGUCCCUAGUUAGGGGUGUGCUGGAGGCAGCUGAUUAAUGUUUCUCUCUCUCUCUUCCUCCCUUUUCCUCUCUCUCAAAAUAAGUAAAAUCUUUCUUAAAAAUUUAAUUUGGGUGCUUGUUUCAGGAGCACAUCUACUAAAAUUGGAAUGACACAAAGAUUAGCAUGGCCCCUGUGCAAGGAUCUCACACACAUCCCCAAAAUCAGUUCAGUCUGAGGGUUAUAUACAAAUAUAAGAGUUAAGGUUUUGUGGACCUUCCCUCCCCUGCAAUGCCCUAGUUUUGCACUACAGCUGAAUUGUUCAAGGGCAGGAUUAUAGGUGUAGGUUGUGUUAUUGCUCAAGAUAUCUAAAUGACACCUGUCUGUUAAUAUCUGCAGUUGAGCAGUUACUGAAGACACUGCAGUAAGCCCUGACAAAGCUGCUAUAGUGUUUCAUAUUGCAGCAGGACAUUAUGCAUUUCAAGGGAAGAUUGGAAGACACAUAGGCCACUAUAGAAAUAAUCUGGCUAUCUGGAAUCUAGGGCUACAGAAGAUUCUUUCCUAUCAAACAGCUCAUCAGUAUUGGAUAGCACCCGUGGACCAACACCCAUGAAGACACACUUUCUGUAAUGAGGGAGGAUCCGUCAGUGAAGUAUGCAGGGGGAGCGAUCUCUGAACUGUUAUGAAGAUCCUUGAAGUGCUUCGCUUUUUCCCACUUUUCCAUCAUGUGGCUUCUGGACACUGUUCAGUCCUUUGAAAUUGACUUUAAUUUAAAACAAAUGCCUCUGCUUCACCCAGGAGGUGGAAGGAGUGAAUUUUAUGUUUGAAUGAAGAAGUGAAUUAUGAAAGAAGAGUAUACGUACGUCCCUUCCCUUUCAAGCAUAAGUCCAAAUAGGCGCUCAGGAAGGAGGAUUUGUGAAGACAUCAAGUGGGAGAUGGACUCAUCUAAACGUCCAUACUGAGUUGUGUUGCUGGAGAAAAGAUACCUGUUUUGCUCAUCCAGUUUUGUCGCACCCAGCACCAUUCUGACCUGUCACUUCCUUUCUCCUGUCUGCCUUCUGUCCUCGGUGCAUGUCCUUGAAUAAUUUGUUCUGAUCUGGAAGUCUGCUACCAAUAUCUUUGGAAAACUUCUUUUGCAUAUUUUUCCAUUUUGAAAUGUACCCUGUCACCAGAUACCUCCUGUAUUUCCAUAUUGCAUACAAAGGAUGCGUAAAAAGAAAGUGCUUGAAACAUUUGAAAUUUUUAGGAAGGAAAGAAAGAUGAGAAAGUCCGUCCCCCCUUCCUAACACACCCCUUGUGCUCACCUGGGCCGUGAGAGGGGUUUUGUUUUCCUUUGGCUGCACACUUCCUGCCAGUGCUGGUUCGUUCUCGUCAAUCAUGGUUUUUUGAAGGUGGCUGGUUUCGUCCGUCGCCAGCAAACAAUCAUCAGUAGUUCGCGUUGCUUCACGCGUGCUGGCCUCCGCGGAUGAAACCAGCCAACCCGUCUCUCAGCGAGCUUCUCUUGUGUGGGGGUGGGGGCUCUGCGCGAGGACUGACGCACAGCCGUUCCCAAUCACAGCAGCAGCAACCACGGUUCAAAUCACAGAUGAAGGAACAAAUUCUUUUUGUCGUUGCUUGUGGAUAGCUGCCCUUCCACCGGUCAUCGAGUUUCCCCCUCUCGUGUCCACGCUCCUUUUCCUUACGACAUGUUUCAGUCACUUCCUUUCUGUGAAAGGUUGCUUAGCUUUUAAAAUUUUUUUUUACAUUUUGCUUUUGCUGUUCUUCUAUAUAAAAAAUAGAUUGGAUGGAUGUGUACAUUAAGUGUUGGAAAUUCUCUGAAAACCAGCGUAAAGAAACCAGUGUGGGGAGGGCUCACUAGUUGUCCAAGGAGAGCUUCAGUUGACCAGAACUUAGCCUGGCUCAGCGUUUUCAGAGGAGAGUUGAAACACUGCUUCUCGUGAAAUCUCUGCCAGCUGGUGGGUGCUCCUGUCGGUGGCCAAACAGUGGAUUGCCUUUUGGAUUUUAGGAUAGAAAUCAAAGUAGAACACAUCAGUGAGAGCCUCUUUCUCCUAUUCCAUCUUUUACAACAAACUAUUCAGUAACUGAAGACCUCUUCUUGAGUCUGUUGCAACAUAUCUAUAUUUUUAGCUGCCACUACUUUUUUUUCAAAUGCUUGUUCUGUGAAUUUCUCCUCAUGUUCCGUCUCCCACCGUGGUCGAGGUCAGUAGGUGGCUCACCAACACUUCCGUCUGCAAACAUCACUCCCAUUCCUUGUCUCUCUGCUGUGGCGCUGCUGUAGUGUACAGACUGUGUGAUACAAAGUUCCUGGCAGCGGCUCCUAAUAAUUAUUUAUGCCUUUAGACUAUUUUUCAGCUCAUUAAACCUCAGUCCAUUUCAGUUUGAUUUUCUCAAUGUGUACAAUACAAGCAUAUUCUCUUCUUCCCUUUUGUCAUCUCCCCUUUUGUUUUUUAAUGUUCUGUAGUUUUGUACAAGACAAGACUUAGCCUUGGGUAUUUCUUGCUGAAGCUUUAAUGCCUUGUCAAUAAAAUCGGAUGUUUAUUAAA